rnacentral:rRNA from 1 species
AUGCCGCCGCGGGGCUCUCGCCAGGCGGAGCUCCGCCUGGCCCUCCAACGCGACAUCCAGUUCUUCCACGUGGAGAUGCCUCGCUUCCACCGCGCCACCUCCAUCGACCUCGCCGCGCACUACCUCCACCUCUUGCUGUCACGCAUCAGCAGGUUCCCGGCGCUCCAGAGGCUGUCCCUCUCCGGCUGCCGCGUCGACCUCGCCGACCUGGUCCACCGCUGCCCGUGCCUGCGGGUGCUCAGGGUGGCCGACGCCCGACGGGUUCCUCAACAGCAAUAUCACCAUCAAAUCGGAGUCGUUGGAGGAGCUCGCUGUGGAGAGCCUGAACAAAUGGACAGAGUGUAUCUGCGUCGAGGCCCCCCAUGCUCAAGAAUUUGGCAAUGUCAUUCAGCAUCGACAGCGAGCUCACCGUGUCCAUCGCCGCGCCAAUUGUGGAGAAGGUCUCUUGGGAGUGCUCAUAUUCCUAUUCCUCGCUGA